AUGGAUCUUAAAGAUAUCAGAUUCCUGUUUCUCAUCUUGAACCAAAGGUUGCCAGAUACCAAAGGACUAAGCUGAUGCAAUACUAUUCACAGGAACUUGUUGCCAAUAAUGUAAGACAGUUGUAAACAGAUCAAAUGGGUCAGCUGAAAGAACAACUGGAAGAAGGAAGUCUACAAAGACACAAAGGCUUCGAUGAAGGAAAGGACAUCGAGCUCUUUCAGGAGGGGAUAGCCUCUAAAACCUUUACUCAAUAAGUCUCUGGCAACUCAGCUGUAUUGCACGUGGUCCACUUUUGGAUCAACCCAAACUAGGAAACAAUUCAACUACUCGCAACGGCUUGUGCUGUCACGACUGGAUUCCCUGGUUGGAAGAUAGCAUAUGUCGAAUAUGUUAUUUCAAGUAUAGCAUUUCUGAAGUAUAUUAUUUGAAAAAAGUCUCAUCGGGAGGUAAGUUGUGCUUUACAAACACUAUUGGAAUCCUUUUAUUAUCUUUGACAUUUCAGAUUUUUUUCUAGAGUUU
rnacentral:lncRNA from 1 species